CGUAAAAGGAAUCUUUAGUUUUAUUAAUAAAAACAUGAAAGAGGAUAGGUUGUAUCCCAGGCAGUUGACACUUGGAGUGGUUGCACCAAAGUACAUCUGUAUGCAGGCACUGGUAGUGGCCCUUCUGCAAGCUGUUCUUCCUCCAUCUUAUCUGCAAUGUGAUUCUGGCCAAGUCUGGGAAAAUUUUAUGCUUUUAAAAGUAACAGCCUCUUUUCCGGCUUUGGGACAUUGUGAAGAUAUACUUGGGACUGCUGCAGCCAUCUUGCAUCCGUGAGGCUUCCUUCAAAGCAAGAGCUGAGUGGCUGAGGAUAUAGCUCAAGCUAAAGCUUUAAGCUCAGCACACGGUCCUGAGUUCAAUCCCCAGUACAAAAUAAAAAGCAAGAGCUGAAGACCUAUGAAGACAGAGAGUAAAGAAAAAAGAACUCAAGUCCUUGGUGAUGCCAAUGAACUGCUGAAAUAGCCAGUCCUAAAACCCUGACCUCAGCCCUCUUGUUUUGAUUCAGAAAUGUAUUUUUACCUUUUAAUAGUUCCAAAUGCAGGCUAUGUCUUACGAGCAAUGACAUCUCAGUUUCUGUCAAAUACAAAAGUUUAGGAGCUAAGCAGUUGGCACCACCUCCCAUCCACCAUGAUGUGCUGCCUUACUAGAGGCCCAAAGCAAAGGCCCAAGUGCCUUUAAUCUCGGACUGGACUCUCCAGAACUGUGAGCCAAAAUAAAACUUUUACCUUUGUAAGAGAAUUAUCUCAGGUGUUUUAUUAUAGUAACAGGAUGCUAACAUAACCACCAUGCUAUGUUUCCCAAAAUAUUCUGCAGUGACAUUGGAACAUUUUUGCAUAACUCCAGUGAUUUCAGUUCAUCCUCCUACAAAGUUCAUCGUGAAAACAUUCAGGAUUUUUUUCUUCGUUGAAGAUUGUCAAUCAAUGCCACAAAUCCUGUUCAGCAAAAAUCUUAGAUCACUGAAUGUAGCUUUAACUUUCUGGAGGAGGAGAAAUGUAACAGUGUAUACUCUAUUUUUUGAGAAUAGAGAUCUUGGAGUUGUAGAUUACUUCUUUGAGUUUACAAUAGUAUUCAGGAAGAAAAGCCAUGCAUUUUACUCACCUGCUCUGCAGAGCUGUUGCC
rnacentral:lncRNA from 1 species